rnacentral:rRNA from 1 species
GUGGGGAAUUUUGGACAAUGGGGGCAACCCUGAUCCAGCCAUUCCGCGUGAGUGAAGAAGGCCUUCGGGUUGUAAAGCUCUUUCGGCAGGAACGAAACGGUGAGCUCUAACAUAGCUCGCUAAUGACGGUACCUGAAGAAGAAGCACCGGCUAACUACGUGCCAGCAGCCGCGGUAAUACGUAGGGUGCGAGCGUUAAUCGGAAUUACUGGGCGUAAAGCGUGCGCAGGCGGUUGUGUAAGACAGGUGUGAAAUCCCCGGGCUUAACCUGGGAACUGAGCUUGUGACUGCACGGCUAGAGUAUGGCAGAGGGGGGUGGAAUUCCACGUGUAGCAGUGAAAUGCGUAGAGAUGUGGAGGAACACCGAUGGCGAAGGCAGCCCCCUGGGCCAAUACUGACGCUCAUGCACGAAAGCGUGGGGAGCAAACAGGAUUAGAUACCCGUGUAGUCC